rnacentral:rRNA from 1 species
CCUACGGGUGGCAGCAGUGAGGAAUAUUGGUCAAUGGCCGCAGGGCUGAACCAACCAAGUCGCGUGAGGGAUGACGGUCCUAUGGAUUGUAAACCUCUUUUGUCAGGGAGCAAAGGGCGCCACGUGUGGCGUUUUGCGAGUACCUGAAGAAAAAGCAUCGGCUAACUCCGUGCCAGCAGCCGCGGUAAUACGGAGGAUGCGAGCGUUAUCCGGAUUUAUUGGGUUUAAAGGGUGCGCAGGCGGAAUGUCAAGUCAGCGGUAAAAUCCCGGGGCUCAACUCCGGCACUGCCUCUGAUACUGUCGGGCUAGAGUUUAGUUGCGGUAGGCGGAAUGUAUGGUGUAGCGGUGAAAUGCAUAGAGAUCAUACAGAACACCGAUUGCGAAGGCAGCUUACCAAACUACGACUGACGUUGAGGCACGAAAGCGUGGGGAGCAAACAGGAUUAGAUACCCGAGUAGUC